rnacentral:rRNA from 1 species
CCUACGGGAGGCAGCAGUGGGGAAUAUUGGACAAUGGGCGCAAGCCUGAUCCAGCCAUACCGCGUGGGUGAAGAAGGCCUUCGGGUUGUAAAGCCCUUUUGUUGGGAAAGAAAAGCAGCGGGCUAAUACCUUGCUGUUCUGACGGUACCCAAAGAAUAAGCACCGGCUAACUUCGUGCCAGCAGCCGCGGUAAUACGAAGGGUGCAAGCGUUACUCGGAAUUACUGGGCGUAAAGCGUGCGUAGGUGGUUGUUUAAGUCUGUUGUGAAAGCCCUGGGCUCAACCUGGGAACUGCAGUGGAAACUGGAUGACUAGAGUGUGGUAGAGGGUAGCGGAAUUCCCGGUGUAGCAGUGAAAUGCGUAGAGAUCGGGAGGAACAUCCAUGGCGAAGGCAGCUACCUGGACCAACACUGACACUGAGGCACGAAAGCGUGGGGAGCAAAUCUUUAUUAGGAUACCCUGGUAGUCCACGCCCUAAACGAUGCGAUUCAGGAUGUUGGGUGCACCUUUGGCACCGCAGUAUCGAAGCUAACGC